rnacentral:rRNA from 1 species
UUGAAGGGUUUGAUCCUGGCUCAGAAUGAACGUUGGCGGCGUGGAUUAGGCAUGCAAGUCGAACGAGUCCCUGGGGGGUAACUUUCAGGGAUAAGUGGCGAAUGGGGCAGUAAUGCAUGGGUAACCUACCUCGAGGUCUGGGAUAGCCACUCUAACGGGUGGGUAACACUGGACGACCUAGGAUUCCGGCAUCGGAGACCUAGUAAAGGUAACGCCUCGAGAGGGGCCCAUGUGAUAUUAGCUAGUUGGUGAGGUAACGGCUCACCAAGGCGAAGAUGUCUAGCGGGUGUGAGAGCACGACCCGCGUCACUGGCACUGAGACACUGGCCAGACUCCUACGGGAGGCUGCAGUCGAGAAUCUUCGGCAAUGGACGCAAGUCUGACCGAGCGACGCCGCGUGCGCGAUGAAGGCCUUCGGGUUGUAAAGCGCUGUCGAGGGGGAGAAAAACUGAUCGACCCCUGGAGGAAGGACGGGCUAAGUUCGUGCCAGCAGCCGCGGUAAGACGAACCGUCCAAACGUUAUUCGGAAUCACUGGGCUUAAAGGGCGCGUAGGCGGGUGGUCAAGUCAGGGGUGAAAUCCUCCAGCUCAACUGGAGAAGUGCCUUUGAUACUGGCUGUCUAGAGUGAGGUAGGGGCAUAUGGAACUUCCGGUGGAGCGGUGAAAUGCGUAGAUAUCGGAAGGAACGCCAGUGGCGAAAGCGAUAUGCUGGACCUUUUCUGACGCUGAGGCGCGAAAGCUAGGGGAUCAAACGGGAUUAGAUACCCCGGUAGUCCUAGCCCUAAACGAUGGGUACUAGAUUGUGGACUUUACAUGGGUUCACAGUCGAAGCAAAAGUUUUAAGUACCCCGCCUGGGGAGUAUGGUCGCAAGGCUGAAACUCAAAGGAAUUGACGGGGGCUCACACAAGCGGUGGAGCAUGUGGCUUAAUUCGAGGCUACGCGAAGAACCUUAUCCUGGAUUUGACAUGUGCGAAAGCGGUAGGAAGUAGUUGCCGGAAACGGCCAACGAACGGUAUCCAGUCCGGAACCUACUACAGGUGCUGCAUGGCUGUCGUCAGCUCGUGUCGUGAGAUGUCUGGUUAAGUCCGAUAACGAGCGCAACCCUUGUCUUCAGUUGCCAGCGGGUCAUGCCGGGAACUCUGAAGAGACUGCCGGUGUCAAACCGGAGGAAGGUGGGGAUGACGUCAAGUCCUCAUGGCCUUUAUAUCCAGGGCUGCACACGUGCUACAAUGGCGCGCACAAAGGGAAGCAAUCUCGCAAGAAGGAGCAAAUCCCAAAAAACGCGCCCCAGUUCAGAUUGAAGGCUGCAACUCGCCUUCAUGAAGUUGGAAUCGCUAGUAAUCGCGGGUCAGCAACACCGCGGUGAAUGUGUUCCUGAGCCUUGUACACACCGCCCGUCAAGCCACGAAAGGGAGAGGCAUCCGAAGUCGCCACACUAAGAUGGCGCCGAAGAUGAAAUUCCUGAUUGGGACUAAGUCGUAACAAGGUAACCGUAGGGGAACCUGCGGUUGGAUCACCUCCUUUCU